AGAAGUCACCUGAGCCUCUGCCUUUUCCAAAACUCCCGAAGAGGCUUCCAGCGAUGAGUCAGUGCACGGGCAGCCCUGCUCACCGAGAGCCAGCCUGGGGAGGCCGAGGCUUCCCACCGGUCUGAGCUGGGAGUAGGGCCGGGGCCGGGGUGGGGGGCGCGCGGAGGAGACCCUGGCAGCCCUGGGGAGCUCUUUACCCUGCCAGUGCUGGGGCUUCAGAGGCCCAACCCUGUGGUCGGCCACGUGGGGUUGGUGAUUCCCAGGAGUGUGAAACAGCAGGACUGCCUGGGAGACAGUUCCAAUCUUGUGCCCGAGCUUCUGCUCGGCACCAGGCACGGCCCUGCCCUCACGGAGCUCCGUCUGGUGGGGACCCGGAGGCCUUUAGUCGCAUCUUUCCUUACUCCAUCGAGGAUAUGAGGCUGCGCUGGCGUUCAUUUCAUGUGGGCAGCCUGGGCCCACCCCCCGCCAUUCUGGGGUGUUCCCUGACCACGAGUCCUGUUGGGGGGGACCGGGCCUGUCCCCAGCAACCACGUGUGGUUUGGUUUUGGUGUCUGUUUACCACUGUGAUUCCUCCCACCCUCCCCCUUCUCCCAGCUCUCUCCAAUUCUGUGCAUGCCGGCGUUCCUUUCUAUUUUUGAGCAUGGCUAUGUAGUUUCAUGUUUCUUUUUCCUCUGCUCUCUACCUUGUAUUUGGAGGUAAGGGGGUCAAUUCUAGCAUGAGCUUAAUCUUCCACGUUGCCCCAUUAAUCCCGGAAUUCCUCACCAGUCUGCUAAUCGCCCACCCAGCACUGAGAGUACACAUCAUAGGCUUCUGGUUCUGGACCCAUCACUAACCAGCUGGCGACUGUGGGCCAGCCCCUCCCCGUCCCCAGGCCUCAUCGGGGGGUCUGUGAACUGUGGGAGUUAGAGGAGAGGAUGGGAGGGGUGAGGAGAGUGGUGACACCCACACUUCCGUGGGGUCCGGAAUUCAAUCCUCACCAAGGAGACUCACGGCACUGCCUCACCUACGAGGGAGCAUAGGCGGCCCGACGUCAUGGACAGACAGUGAAUUCCGAGUUAGAAAUGACUAGGUUCUAGCCCCAGCUUUAUGCCUGUUAGGUUGUGGGAACGUGGAGCAAAACUUAAGCCUUGAACUUCAGUUGCCUCAUCAGUGACGUGAACAGCAAUGUCCGUCCUCCCCACAGGCGGAGGGGGUGAGGCCAGGAAGCUGUGAAAUAGUGUGGAUGGAAAACACUUUUCUAGCCUAAAGCUCUGUGUUCAUGCCAGCUGGAUUACUUGGCACAGUUUGGGCUCCCUGGGAAGCAGAUUCAGAGAGAUGUGAAGUGUUCAGGAUGUUAUGAAGAAGUGGCCUUGGGAUCAGCACACCUGUGCCAGGGAGGGAGUGGAAGCAGGAUGGGGUCGAGGCUGGGGAAGCAGGAGAAGCUGAGCCGCGAUGCAGUCCCCAGGGCCUCAGCCAGCCCCGUGGGGAGCCCUGGAGUUAAAUGUGCCCUCAGAGCUGUCCUGCACUGGGCCAAAAUGGCUGAGCUUCUAUAUUCCCUGAUCACCUGGUGAUGCCGUCCUGGCACGGCAGGACCGUGGUCUGCCUGAUGCUCCAGCCAGCCCUGCCGCCAGCUGGGGCAACAAGUCCUUUCUUGAGGGAAGAUCUGGGCGGUGCUGUUAAUCACAUGGCCACGCCUAACGGUCAGGUUGUCCCGAUCAAAGACUCGAUAUUAUAGGGCUCCUGCCAUUCUAGUACGAUUUGACAGCUCUCCUCAUGCAUUUUAGUUUAAUGACUUUAGUCUCUCAUUUCUGAGAAAAGAAUGGGAAAUUCCUCCUCUGUUUGCCGUGGGACCCAGAAAACCAUUCCAUCUGGCUCUGCCUGGCAGUGAAAUAGACUCUAUUGGAACUGGAUAUCAGCAGGACCUAAAAACUAACGAAUUGAUUUCAUUUAAGAAGUUGUGUGUGUGUAUACAUGAGGGCGUACACACGUGAAGAUGUAUAUGUCUGCGUGUGAGCACAUGUGAGGUGCAUUUCUGGGUGAGUACAUGUAUGACGACCUGGACGAGAGAGAGGCUUCGGAGGCAGGUGUCCAGUGUAGACACACCCACGUGAACAGGUGGGUGCUUAUGAGAAUCUCAAUUUGUGCAGGUGGACCUCGUUCAUUCAUUCUCCAAACAUUAGUGAAGCAUCUACAGCGUGCCAGGCACUUGUGCUGGGGCUGGGAAGUGAGAAGAGAAAAGAUGUGGUUCCUGCCUCUGGGAGCUUAUUGUCUCCUGGGGAGACAGACAACUCAGUGCAGGCAUGUGGGGUACAGUGUGGUAAGAAAGUUGACAGAGGGGGGCACAGGAGGCUGUGGAGGCACCCGGUGUGCACCCCAACCAGGCUGUCCCUUCCCUGGGACAGGAGACCCUGGAGCUGAGCCUUGAAGCGUGAGUAGGAGUUACUGAGCCAAAGAUGAUGGGGAAGAUUGUCCCAGCUGAGAAGCAGAGCUUUCAACGUGCAGGGAACUGACCCAGAGGGAGGUCACAGGAGUACAAAUAAGACAGGGUUGGUGAUAUCUGGUAGGAUUAAGCUGUGAAGUGCUUAGAACCGUGCCUGAUGAAUAACAAGUAUUCAGCUCUAAACUUUAGCUAUUUUUAACCUGGGCUUGGAUCCUCCUAGGUCUGUCUUACUCACUUGAUGAAAACUGUGACCUCUUUGGGCCUCAUCUGCAAAAUGUUGGCCCAUCUUUAACUCCCAGGGACCAAUACCUGUCCCCUACCAACCUGUUCUGUUUUACAUGACAUGGUUCCUUGAUUUGAAAAGAUCUUGCUUGCCAAACUUCAUUUGUUAAAUAAUAACCUAUAUGUCAUCAAGGUUUCCCUUGGGCUUUAUAAAAUACUAGGAAUAACUGGCAAUGCUCCUUCCUGAGAGCUCCUGGAUCAGGUGAGAUAAUCGCUGAGAAGCCACCCCUCCUACUCCAGUGUCACAGGCUGGCAUCUCCACAGCAAGAAGCAAAUGCCUUCAGAUAUUUCUGGUCCACAGAACAGGGAGCCAAGCUGACCCUGAACUAGAAGAUGCUUCCCAUUGACUUUUGGAAUGUUCUGGGGCCUCGGUCAUCACUGUGAGAAGCACUCAUUCCAGCCAAGUUAAGAGAAGGCCUUAUCCUGCUUCCCUGACAGCCUUGUGUUUGGAAAAUCCAAGAGCGAGCUACUGCGGCUGGCGAAGGCCACUUUUAUGGUGAUUGAUGCUUUGGUCUGAUGAGUCCUAUGCGCUGGUACUUUCCACAUAUUAGCUCUUUAAAUUUUCACAAUAAUCUUCCAAGGUAGUUACUAUCAUUCCCAACGAAUAGAUGAUGAAACUGUGGCUCAGAGAUGUGAUCUGCCCAUGUUCAACCAGCUAUAAAUCACAGCAUUGUUUAAAAUUUCUUUCAUAUAUCUAAUCACCAAAUUCUUACUUUUCUCUGAAGCAGUAAUCAUCUCCAUUUUAUGGGUGAAGAAACUGAGACUUAGCAAAGCUAUGGGACAUGUCCAAGGUCACAGAGCUGAGAAUUAGCAAAGUGAAUCUGGAUUUACUGCUCUUUCUUCAACAGCUGCUGGCAGCAAACCGGCUAUGAGGUGGCCCCUCCCCACCUGGGCACCCAGAGCGCAUCCUCCUGUAAUGCUGGCUGCCCCAUUCCUUACCCCUCCCAGGCUGGAUGGUGUGUGACAAUCUGUUACCUUGGUGGCUCCCCAAUGAACCAUGCCUCCUGGUGUUUCAACCCUUGUGUUAUCACCUCUCUUGGAAUCUGGAAUUUAUCCUUGGGAAAUCAUCAGAGAUGGAAAGACUGAUCUGCAAAAACGGGUAUCACAGCACAAUUAUAUUUGCAAGAAGACUAGAAACAGCCUAAAUGUCCAAGAGUGGAGGGUUUCUUACAUGAAUUGUGAUACGCCAGGCAGCUAUGAAAAUGACCUUGUGGAAUAAUGGCUAGUGAUCUGGGAGAAAACUCAUGACAUACAUUACACCUAAAAAAGCAGGAUACAAAACCGUAUAUGCAAUAUAAACUUAAUUUUGUUUUUAAUAAACGUUUCAGAGGGAUAAGGCUGGAAAGAAAUAUCCCAAAUUGUAAACAAUGAUUAUUACUGGCUCUGUGACUAAUAUUUUAUUUUUAAUA